CAUCGGCUGCACUGACUUUAACGAAAUAUUCAGUUCCAAAUUCAUAUUGUUUGCGGGCAGUCGAAACAUUUAAAAUGGGCGGAAUAAAAUUUAACGGAGUUUUGUUACUGAUGGUCCUUCAAAUAUUCUUGGUGGCUACAACAACUGUAGAUGAAGUGAGAUCAAAGACAUAAUACUAAGAAGAAUAAAGAGUGAUUAAAGUGUAUACGUUUUCUUCCUAUCAGACGUAUGAAUCAGACCAAAGAACUGUAAAACCGUUGCUCGAUAUUAUUAGACAGGUCAGAAAUAAGUUAGAACAAAGUGAAACUAAGGAAAAGCAGAUAAGUGAAUUAAAUUCUGAUCUUAUGGAAAAAUAUCAUGAAAUUGUAAGAAUUCAUGAAACAUUCAUGAAGGAGGCAGCUCUAUUAAAUAAGUAUAAAAACAAAGUAAUCAAAGGGGAAAGCGAUUUGCAAUUGUGUCAAAAUAAAGUUGAUAAAUCUGAAUCUAAAAUUAAUUCACAACAAAAUAUUAUUCUUAAAUUAAAAGAACAACUAACAGAUAAAUCCACAUACUUAGAAAAUUGUCAAAUUCAAUUAAAAUCUUUUAAUUCUAGUUUAAUUGAAAAAGAUGAAUAUAUUAAAAAUAACACAGAACAUCAGAGAACACUCGAAUUUGAAUUAGAGAAGAGUAAAUCUAUAUUAAUAAAUCAUGAAAAUGAUAUUCAGUUAUGUCGUUCAGAAAUCAACAAAUUAAAUAGCACAUCAAAGAACAUUAGAGAAGAACAGAAAGAGAUUCAAUUGAAGUUAACAGAAUGUGAAACUAAGCUAAGUCAAUCUGAACUUGAUAAAUUAAAUCCCACAACAUGCAUCCCUUUCGGAGAAUAUUCAGGAGUUAAUCAACUCAAUGUCUCUGGCAUAGGUUUAUUCAAUGUUUUGUGCGAUAGUCAGUUAGCUGGACCUGGAUGGAUUGUAAUACAACAACGAGUUGGGGGAGAUGAGAAUUUCAAUAGGGAUUGGGCAACGUAUCGCAAAGGUUUCGGUUCUUUUGAAAGUGAUUUCUUUCUUGGUCUAGAGAAAAUACAUCGUAUCACGAGCUUGCAGCGUUUCGAACUUUACAUACAUUUGGUUGAUAAGAAUGGAAGAACGUACUACGCUCGCUAUGACGACUUCAAAAUAUCUGAUGAAGAUAAUGGAUAUGCACUGAGUUUGGGUGAAUUCAGUGGAACUCGUUUUUUUUUGAUGACAUGAGAAAGUCUGAAAACAUGAAAUUCUCAACAUUCGAUCACGACAACGACAGAAAUGAUUAUGAUAAUUGCGCAGACUUGUAUGAAAGUGGCUGGUGGUACAAUUAUUGUACUCGUGGUUAUUUAAAUGCACCAUAUGGGCCAGAUCUACUUUGGUUUGACUAUAAGUUCAUUUUACUUGAGGAAGUUAAGAUGCUAAUUCGCCCCAAAGAAGCGAUGAUAAAGUGAUAAACUGAUAAGCUGAAAUUCCCAUAUUUGACUCAAUUAUGUAAUCAUUUAACAUAUAUAUAAUUGGUGCAUUAAGAAAUUGCGUUCUGAAAAAUAAAACGAUCGACUAUCUAAUGCAGCGAUUUAUUUUUUGAAUGGAAAUAGAUCAGUUUUUAAUGCAUUUAUUGUAUAUUUUGAUGUAGCAAAUUUUAAAUUUUUUUAGCUAUAGAGGUGCAAAUACUUAAAAGUCGGCAAACUUAUGAAUGAUUAUCCCGUAUAUAUCCUUUCAGUCGAACAUUGAAUAUUAAUGUAAUUUAGGAAAUGAUCUUCACAUAUUCGUUUCUUAUCUAAACAUAAAUGUUACUAAUAAUACAUAACAAAUUAUGUUUUUGCAACAUUAGUUGAUGAAAAAAUGAAUUCAACCAAAAAACAGUGCCGAGUGUGCUCGACUGCGAAAUACCAGCUAGCCAUUUUGAAUAAAAGCAAAAUAUUACGGUGUAGAAUAUGCCAUAU